rnacentral:rRNA from 1 species
AUUGAACGCUGGCGGCAGGCCUAACACAUGCAAGUCGAACGAGUGGCGGACGGGUGAGUAAUGUCUGGGAAACUGCCCGAUGGAGGGGGAUAACUACUGGAAACGGUAGCUAAUACCGCAUACCAUCGGAUGUGCCCAGAUGGGUUUCGCUAGUAGGUGGGGUAACGGCUCACCUAGGCAACCAUCCCUAGCUGGGCUGAGAGGAUGACCAGCCACACGGGAACGGAGACGCGGUCCAGACUCCUACGGUAGGCAGCAGUGGGGAAUAUUGCACAAGGGGAGCAAGCCUGAUGCAGCCCUGCCGCGUGUCUUAAGAAGGCCUUCGUGUUGUAAAGGACUUUCAGCGAGGAGGCGGUACUCGCAGAAGAAGCACCGGCUAACUCCGUGCCAGCAGCCGCGGUAAUAC